rnacentral:rRNA from 1 species
AUUGAACGCUGGCGGCAGGCCUAACACAUGCAAGUCGAGCGAGUGGCGGACGGGUGAGUACUGUAUGGGGAUCUGCCCGAUAGAGGUGGAUAACUACUGGAAACGGUGGCUACUACCGCAUACUAUCGGAUGAACCCAUAUGGGAUUCGCUAGUAGGUGGGGUAAAGGCUCACCUAGGCGACGAACCCUAGCUGGUCUGAGAGGAUGAUCAGCCACACGGGGACUGAGACACGGCCCAGACUCCUACGGGAGGCAGCAGUGGAGAAUAUUGCACAAUGGGCGCAAGCCUGAUGCAGACAUGCCGCGUGUAGGAAGAAGGCCUUGGGGUUGUAAAGUACUUUCAGCGAGGAGGCGUUACCCGCAGAAGAAGCACCGGGUAACUCCGUGCCAGCAGCCGCGGUAAUAC